rnacentral:rRNA from 1 species
UAUUUAUUUAUUUUUUUUUUUUAUUAUUUAUUUUAGUUUAUAAAAUAAAAAUAAUUGUUUUUUUUUACUGUUAAGGAUUUUAAAUAAUUUUAUAAAAUAAUUUUUAGUACCUUUUGUAUCAGGGUUAAUUUAAUUUUUUAUUUAUAAUUUUUUUCCCGAAUUUAAAAUAUUUAAUUUAUUAUAAUUUUUUAUGUUUCAUAAUAUUAUUUAAAUAUAAAUUUAUAAUUAAAAAGUUAUUAUGUUUUUUUUUAUAUCUGGUUAAUUUGGAUUUAAAUUUAAUUUUAAAAUUAAUUUUUUUUAGUUUAUUAUUUUUCUUAGUUCUUAUUUUAUUGUGGAUAAUCAUAAUAUUAUGUUAAAAUUUUUUUUUUAUUAUUUUUAUUAUUUUUAAUAUCAUUGUUUAAGUUCUUAAUUGAUUUAAUUAUAUAUUUUAUUAUUUUUUUAUAUUUAAUAUUUUACAGAUUUUUAUAUUAAAAUUUUUAUUUAUAUUAAUAAUUGUUAAAUAAGUAUAAUUUUUAAUUUUAUUUUAUGAAUUCGACAGAUAUUUAUUCUUAACUGUUUAUCAAAAACAUUUCUUUUAGUUUAUUUUAAAGGUAAGUUCUGCCCUAUGAUUAAUUUUAAAUGGCUGCGGUAUUUUGACCGUACAAAGGUAGCAUAAUAAAUUGUUUCUUAAUUAGUAACUUGAAUGAAUGAAUAUAUAAAGAAUUAUUUUUAUUUUUUAUAUUUUUAAAAUUUUAUUUCUAAGUUAAAAAGCUUAGUUUUAUUCUUGGGAAGAGAAGACCCUAAAGAACUUUAUUUUUUAAUUAUUAUUUUUUUAUAUUAAUUUAAUAAUUAUUAUUUUUAGUUGGGGUGAUUAAUAAAUUUAUUCUUUAUUAUAAUUUUUCAUUUAUUUAUGUUUUUUUGAUCCAUUUUUAUGAUUGUUAGAAUUUAGUUACCUUAGGGAUAACAGCGUAAUUUUUAUGGUAAGUUCAUAUUUAUAUAAAAGUUUGCGACCUCGAUGUUGAAUUAAGAUAAAAUUGGGAAGCAGAAUUCUCAUAUUUAAGUCUGUUCGACUUUUAAAUUCUUACAUGAUUUGAGUUCAAACCGGCGUGAGCCAGGUUGGUUUCUAUCUAGGAAUAAUUUAAUUUAGUUAGUACGAAAGGACCACUAAAUUGUACAUUUAGUAUAAAAUUUAGA